AUCAUCAUUAUUUCAUUUUAUUUUGAUUAAAUUAAGUUACCGCCGUAGAUUAGAUUAAUCUCCUUAAACAAAAUAUUAGCUAUUGGGGGCAAUUUAAAGUGAAUGUGAAAUUUCAAGUAUAUGGUAACAAAAUUCUUAUAUAAAUUAUUUAAGUAAGUAUUAUUAUAAAUUAUUUAGUUUAGUUCCACACUAAAUACAAAUUCAUUUUUACUUAAUGUUAUUUUUAUUAAAUUAAUUAGUAAAUUUUAUAUUUGAUUUAAUCCUAAAUUAUAGUUUAAAAUUUAUAUUUUAUUUUAACUUAUUCUAUUAUUUACACG
rnacentral:rRNA from 1 species